AGUAAAAGUCGUAACAAGGUUUCCGUAGGUGAACCUGCGGAAGGAUCAUUAUUGAAUAAACUUGAUGUGGUUGAGCUGACUCUUUCGGGAGUAUGUGCUCGCUCGUCAUCUUUAUCUUUCCACCUGUGCACUUUUUGUAGAUUUGGAUGUAACUGUCCGAGGCAACUCGGUUGGGAGGAAUGCUAUCUUUGAUGGCUUUCCUUGUAUGUCCAAGUCUAUGUCUUCAUAUACUCCAAGUAUGUAACAGAAUGUAUCACUGGGCCUUGUGCCUAUAAACUAUAUACAACUUUCAGCAACGGAUCUCUUGGCUCUCGCAUCGAUGAAGAACGCAGCGAAAUGCGAUAAGUAAUGUGAAUUGCAGAAUUCAGUGAAUCAUCGAAUCUUUGAACGCACCUUGCGCCCCUUGGUAUUCCGAGGGGCAUGCCUGUUUGAGUGUCAUUAAAUUCUCAACCUUACUAGCUUUUGCGAAGUAAUGGCUUGGAYUUGGGGGUCUUUUGCYGGUUUCGAAAGAGAUCKGCUCCCCUUAAAUGUAUUAGCCGGUGCCCCGCGUGGACUGUCUAUUGGUGUGAUAAUUAUCUACGCCGUUAGAUGUCUGCUAUUAAAUGGGAUGUGCUGCUUCUAAUCGUCCUCAGGACAAUUAUUGACCAUUUGACCUCAAAUCAGGUAGGACUACCCGCUGAACUUAAGCAUAUCAAUAAGCGGAGGAAAAGAAACUAACAAGGAUUCCCCUAGUAACUGCGAGUGAAGCGGGAAAAGCUCAAAUUUAAAAGCUGGCAGUCUUUGAU
rnacentral:sRNA from 1 species